rnacentral:rRNA from 1 species
GUAAACGGGUGGCGUCAAGCUGCGAGCCCAGAGGAUUCAGCUGUCUAGGAUGUUGUGAUGCGCCUGGCGCAUCCAUCAGUCGGAAUAAGAUGUGAUAGUCCACUGGGAGACGGUGGGCCCAGCUGCAAGGUUGGGAUAUGUGUACCGGGUGUUAGCCGGAGCAUGCUAUUCAUCUGUUGGGCUGUCUAGGCAGUGCAAUUUCUCUGUGGUGAACACCACGACCGGUGGAAUUGCCAGUCUGCUGUAGUCGAGUCUUGCUGAGAGGGUCCUUGUGGCCAACUUGGUGAGAUCACAGGCGAUGUCAGUGUACGGCGUAGGAGUGCCUUUGGUGUUCUUACGUGUUAUCGGGCGCUGCUUGUCAACGGGCCUGCUCGGUGGUUGUUGUAACUGCCAUUGAGUGGUCUGGUGGGCUAUGGUGGUAAGAAAAACUGUGCAAGGCACCGGGGAUGUCGGCCUCAAAAGCGCUCUACACUGGCAUGUUACAAGUGCGAGGGGGUGCCAUUGCGGUCUGCCUGUUGUUGAGUCUGAUUGUCGUGUCGCCUGCGCAAAGUGGGCCCGGCAGUGGCUUGAUGCAGGAUGGGCUGUGGAUGGUGUCUCUCAGGUGUGGAGUGCGGUGGGCCCAAUAGUCAGUGGUGCUGUGGUAGACGAGCUACCCGACCCGUCUUGAAACACGGACCAAGGAGUUUAACAUGUAUGCGAGUCAAGGGGUCCUACGAAACCCAAAGGCGCAGUGAAAGUAAAGCUUCGACUUGUUCUCGGAGUGAGGUGAGAUCCUGCCGUGACUCGCAUCGCUUGGUGCCAGCAUCAGGCAAAGAGCGGUAGGCGCAUCACCGGCCCGUCCCAUGAUGUGGUCAUUGGAUGU